rnacentral:rRNA from 1 species
CAGCCGCCACGGUAAUACGUAGGUGGCAAGCGUUGUCCGGAAUUAUUGGGCGUAAAGGGCUCGCAGGCGGUUUCUUAAGUCUGAUGUGAAAGCCCCCGGCUCAACCGGGGAGGGUCAUUGGAAACUGGGAAACUUGAGUGCAGAAGAGGAGAGUGGGAUUCCACGUGUAGCGGUGAAAUGCGUAGAGAUGUGGAGGAACACCAGUGGCGAAGGCGACUCUCUGGUCUGUAACUGACGCUGAGGAGCGAAAGCGUGGGGAGCGAACAGGAUUAGAUACCCGUGUAGUCCCUGUCUCUUAUAC